rnacentral:rRNA from 1 species
UGGGGAAUAUUGCACAAUGGGCGCAAGCCUGAUGCAGCCAUGCCGCGUGUGUGAAGAAGGCCUUCGGGUUGUAAAGUACUUUCAGCGGGGAGGAAGGCGUUAAGGUUAAUAACCUUGGCGAUUGACGUUACCCGCAGAAGAAGCACCGGCUAACUCCGUGCCAGCAGCCGCGGUAAUACGGAGGGUGCAAGCGUUAAUCGGAAUUACUGGGCGUAAAGCGCACGCAGGCGGUCUGUCAAGUCGGAUGUGAAAUCCCCGGGCUCAACCUGGGAACUGCAUUCGAAACUGGCAGGCUAGAGUCUUGUAGAGGGGGGUAGAAUUCCAGGUGUAGCGGUGAAAUGCGUAGAGAUCUGGAGGAAUACCGGUGGCGAAGGCGGCCCCCUGGACAAAGACUAACGCUCAGGUGCGAAAGCGUGGGGAGCAAACAGG